rnacentral:rRNA from 1 species
CAGGCCUAACACAUGCAAGUCGAGCGGGCCCUUCGGGGUCAGCGGCGGACGGGUGAGUAACGCGUGGGAACGUGCCUUCUGGUCUGGAAUAACCCUGGGAAACUAGGGCUAAUACCGGAUACGCCCUUAUGGGGAAAGGUUUACUGCCGGAAGAUCGGCCCGCGUCUGAUUAGCUAGUUGGUGGGGUAACGGCCUACCAAGGCGACGAUCAGUAGCUGGUCUGAGAGGAUGAUCAGCCACACUGGGACUGAGACACGGCCCAGACUCCUACGGGAGGCAGCAGUGGGGAAUAUUGGACAAUGGGCGCAAGCCUGAUCCAGCCAUGCCGCGUGAGUGAUGAAGGCCUUAGGGUUGUAAAGCUCUUUUAUCCGGGACGAUAAUGACGGUAUCGGAGGAAUAAGCCCCGGCUAUCUUGGUGCCAGCAGCCGCGGU